CUCGUUCAUUCACUCUAAAUGUAGCAGUGAACGGAAGUAGGAAAUUAAUCCGAAGGAACGCAUC
rnacentral:ncRNA from 10 species